rnacentral:lncRNA from 1 species
UCUCUCUCUCUCUCUUUGAUUUUUAUCUUUUAUUUCUCUAAAGAUCAAUCCAAGGGGCUUGAGCAACGCUAAGACAUUGAGGCCUUUGGUAGUUAAUUCUAGAUCGAGAUCCAUAUGCUAUUAAGAAGGUGUUGCCACAAGUAAGAGAAGCAAGAGACUGAUCAUUGAUCCCGAGCACCAUUAGAAGGAGGUGACUCAGCAUGGGGUGUACUAAGCCUAAUUGAGGUAAUCGUCGACAAUUUUACUUCUUCAAAUUUUAUUUUUUGUUGGGCUCUUUUAUUCCCAUAAAGCAAUGAGUCAAUGUUUUGAUUUAAGAAAUUGUAUUCAAUAGUGGUAGCAAGUGAGAACUGUAUCUUUCUUUUUUUAUUUAUUCAUUGAUUUCAAGAGUUAUUUGUUUGUAAAUGGACAUUGUGAGUGGUCUUGCCGAUGUAAGAAUAAGAAAAAUUUUAUUUUCUAUACACCGUGCUUGAUUACAUAGUCCAACUUUCAAUUAUUGGCAUGUUCAAUCAUCGAAAAGACAGUCUGCAGAAUGAGGUAUUUUGUGUUGUUUUGAAGCAAUGAUAUGAAGAAGAUAAUAAGGUAUUUAUUUGAUACAUACUUCAAUGAUAUUAUGUAUUUUUGAGAGGAAGACCUCCAAUUUCAAUGGGAGAUCCUGGGGGAAUUGAGAGUUAUGGACUCAUCAAUUAAUGGUGUUAGUUCU